GAUGAACGCUGACAGCAUGCCUAACACAUGCAAGUCACUGAGUUGCGGACGGGCGAGUAAGGAGUAAAGAACUUGCCUCACAGCUAGGGACAACAUUUAGAAAUGAACGCUAAUACCCGACACUGUGAGAGAGCUUUGCGUCCCAUUGGCUAGUUGGAGAGGUAACAGCUCACCAAGGCGAUGAUGGGUAGCCGGCCUGAGAGGGUGAACGGCCACAAGGGGACUGGGACGCGGCCCUUACUGCUACGGGAGGCAGGAGUGAGGGAUAUUGGGCGAUGGACCGAAGACUGAUCCAGGUAUUCUGUGUGCACGAUGAGGUUUUCGGAAUGUAAAGUGCUUUCAGUAAGGGAGCGGUACCAACAGAAGAAGUGACGGCUAAAUACGUGCCAGCAGCCGCGGUAAUAC
rnacentral:rRNA from 1 species